CUCAAAAAACAAACAAAAAAAAAAACAAAACCAGAGGCUUUCUGGUUAAAUGGGUGUGUUCACUGUGAAAUCCAUCAAGCUAUACGCUUAGAUUUAUGCACUUCUCUGUAAGGAUUAAAUUUUUAAAAGUUUUAAAGGUAGUAUGUUGAGACUCUAAGUGGCUACAUUUUUAAAUAGAAAUAAGAAAAGGAGAAAGAAGAAACUCAAGAAGGUGUAUAUUCUUUGAAAGGAUGGUAAUCUAACAAUUUCUGAAAAAGGCGAGGGGUGAUUAACUCAGGGGAAAAUUGGAUCCCUGGAGAACUGUAUAAUGAGCAGACGUGGCACACACGAGUAAAAGGUGAAUCUAAAUGUGGGCGAUGGGGGGUGACCAAGAUCCUUUGUUGAGAGGCAGGUGUCCAGGGAUGGGGCAACAGCAAAUUCCCUCUCCUCAAACCCCACUACAAUUACAAAGAAGGAGCACAAACAAAUCAAUGUUUUUUUUCUUUUUAAACAAUGAUCUCUGCUUGUCCACCAUUGUGGUUAUAAUUAAAAAACUUAAUUCUUCCCCAUCCUCUAAAGUAACUUACAGGAACCCUGUAAUUAGCUUUAAUAAUUGUCUACUAAUCAGGCAUGGCAUUUUCAAAACAGAUAAGUUAGUUUUCUUUUGUAGUAUUACAUAAAUAUUUUUCUCUUGUAAUAAAACAUUUUAAUAGGUAUCUAGAAAGGUAAAUCCUAUCUCCUAAAGUUCCCCUGUUAACAUGACACUACUAAAAGGCUUGAGAAAACAUAAACUGAUUUAGAGAGUGAUUUAAUCAAAUGAACAGAUCCAAGAUAUUAAAUUUGGAAUUUUUGAUAUAGAAUGGUAGUAAGCAUUUUGAAACAAAAUACAGCCAUUUGGAAAUAAAAAGCAUUGUCUAGCAUGUGGUAUACUCUUAUAGUGAGUCCAAUGAUACUAAAUGAUUGCUGAUUCUUUUGAAGUAAAUGGGUUCAACUUUUUCUAAGGUAUCUAGGAACAUUAAGGUCUGUUCAUACCCUGUGCUGUGCUCACAAGCUUAGCCAAAUAUGGAAACAAGAAAAACUUCCAAAUCUAUUUACAUACAGAAGUCAGUACAUUAUAAAGAGAGGUUCUUGAGAAAUCUAAUGUUAAAAUCAAAUAAUGUAUGUGCUUACUUGAAAAAGAAUCUUUCAACCUUUAGAAGUAUAGGCCCUUCUGACCUUGUGUUCUAUUGGAUUUGUCUGACAACAAGAGGUGAAAGAAUUCUGUGGCUCCAUUGUCUCAACAGUGGGAUCUAAGAAAACACUGGCAGGACUCAUCAGAGAGGUUUAUGAGCCUGCAAUUCAAAGAGAUUAAAAGGGAAAUCUACGGAGAUUCUUUCACACUGAAGAAUAACAUUAAAUAACUAUUAGCAGCUUGGUUCAGUAAAGCUUACUAGAGCUCUCGCUGGGUCAUUCACAACUUUCUAAAAGAGGAAAGGUUUUUUUUCAGCUCCAUUUGGGAAUCAAUAAAUAUUUCUUACUUCUUACAAGACAAUGGAAUUCCUGUCUUUUUAAGCUUCCUUCUAAUGAUAGUAAAAUUUCUAAAACAACUCUUUGUUUCAUGCCUAAAUAAUUACACAUCCUAAUCCCAGGAAACCUUUUCUAUCUGUAGUUACAAUUUAAAAAAUAAAGUAAAAAUAAAAAAUAAAUAACAGCAACAAAAAACUACAGGGGAGAGAAAUUUAACUUUAUUCAUUAUGGCAGAGAUAUUUCAAAGUCUUAUUUAACCCCAUACUGGCCAAAAGAUCAAGUCCACCUGCAGCUCUGUCCAUAUUAUUCAUGUGUGGCAGUGCCACGUUAUUCACAUGAUCACCACAUCCCCACAAUGCUCUCAUUUAGCAAUUAGUCCACUGUGUUUAUUUUUAUGCCAUUUCAAGUGUUUAAAGUUUAUUUCACACUUAAAGACAUUGGUGUGUAAGUUAAAAAUAAAUAGCAGUUUUUCCUUUAGGUCUAAUUGAGUAUCUUGCUGUCUUAAAACCAAGUAAUUUAAUUUUAAACCAUCACCUCAUUCUUAAAGAACACUUCACUAUGCAUAAUUAAAUUUUUUAUGUAGGAAGUAACUUGAACAUAAUCAGUUUCCCUGUCUUUAACAUGUCUCUGCUCUUGAAAAAUUCUCUAACUUGAUAAGAGAUUGAGAAACAGGCAACAUUUAAUUUGAAGCCUGUUCUUUAAGUCAUAAACCCUAUAAUCCUUUCCCAGAUGAAUCUGAAGAGUCAUUAUUACAAGGCUUUCCACACUGAAGAAAAACUACAAACUUGGAACCUGCUUAUGAACUUGAAUAACUGUGGAGAUUUUAUAAACUGUAGGUAAACCCAGUGUUCACUGAAGGUACCAAAUGAAGCCCAGAAACUGAUUUCCUUCUGCUUCACUAGAAAACACGUAAAAGAGCAGCAGCAGGCCUGGUCUCUUGUUCUGACCCUCAAAUAUCACUCGUACGUGACUAUCUGGAACUACAAAUAGUAGAUUGUACACAACUCAUACAAAAUAGUGACUGAGAAAAAAUGGCUUUGAAUUCCCCUCAAUCAACUACUUUAUGUGACCUUAGUCAAAUUACUAAACCUGAAAAACAGAUAUUCUCUGAAAAACGGGUAUUAAUAUCUUCCUCACAAGGUUGUUAAACAAUGUUUAAAAGAACUACCACAGUUCUAUUGCUUAAUAAAAAUGACAGUUAUUUUUAAACUACUGUUAUCUCUCAGUGUUUGUGUUGAACUAUCUAUACCAGACCAUAAGAAAAUGACUAAAAACCAAUCCAUUAUUAGCAGGACAAAAAUACCUCAAGUACCACAGUGUAGGAAAGCAACUCUUGACUUUGGAUUUAUAAGUGUUGAAGUCUGAUGUACUUUGCUAUUGUAUGACUCAUUUUUAUCAAAGUCACAGCCUAUAUAAUUAUUCAGCCCUUCCAAAAUAUCAAACAUAGAACCAAAUGAUAGGAACCAGAUGAAAAAAAGUUCAAAAUAAUUCUAUGGUUUUAGUUCAGAGGGCACAAAUGAUGAUGGAUUAGAGUAUCAGAAGGCUCUGGUGGGUGGUAGGGAGUUGGGGGUAGGGGAGAUGGAAGGACCCAAGUUGAACCUUGAACAAAGAAUAAGAAUCAGAACAGGAGGGUGGUUCUGAUUAAUAACAAACAGUAUAAACAGAUGUGUGUCUGGGAGCCCCUAAAUGGACCAGGGGACAAAAUUCACAUUAGGUUUGAAAUAGGUAAUAAGUCGGAAAAAAUAGCAGGGACAAGCUUAAAAGCUUCUGUCCCAUUUAAAUUCCAAGUGAAUGGGUAGGUGUUAUUUUGGGAGGGUGCAGAGUUAUAAAUGUUCUUAAAUAGAGGUGUGAGAAUAAAGAAAGCUGCUAGAUCAAUCAAAAUGUAAAGUACUGUGGGAGAAGGCAGUAAUAGAGAAUGGAAGGCCAAUUAGCGGAUAUGGAAAUAAUCUGGGUAUGCUUUAUAAUCUGGGGAUGGACUACUGUGGUAGCUGUGAGAAUAAAAGCUCACACAGGGGAAACAACAUUAAAAAAGAACAAAUGUCAACUGGCAUUUCUGAUUCAUUGACUGUAACCAGAGCAAAGUAGAAGUAAACAGAGUGUAAUAUGAAACCAAGGUUGAGGAAAAAAUAAGAAAGGUGACUCAGUCAGUCUUGAUUUUGGACCCACUGAUUUCAACUGGGUCAAGUAACCAAGUGGAAGUUGGGAGAGAGGUUAAAGUUGGAAACAAAACUUCCUAAAAUUUUAGACUUCUCCAUUAUUAAAUCAGAACUCUCAAGUCUGUUCAAGUGUCCCAGAAUUAUAACUAUAAUCUUGCCCAUAGGUUUCUAUAGCAUUAUUUGAAAGUAGACAAACUUUUACUCAAAACCAAUGAAAAAUGAUCCUAAAAUACAUUUUCAUUGCACAAACAGUUAUUUGCAUUCAAGUAAAGGUAGCAAGUAGUGUGAGUAGUCAUCUUGCAACAAGUAAGUUGGGGCGAGGGAACCUGCACAGAAAGUUUUAUGUAUACUGUCUUCUCCCACUCAAGAUAAAGCCAGUCCCCAACUGUCGAGAUGGAUUUUCUGCAUCAUUUCACAUACUUAUUUUUCUCAGAAACGGUCACCAAAAAAACAUACCCCCGAUGCUUAUCUUCCACGUUUUACCUGAAGCAAAUUUUUACAACCAAUUUUGAAAUUCCUAAAAUCAAAUGGAAAUAUUAUGACCAUAAAUGGACCCUAAUCUCACUAAUUCAAGUAUUUUGUAAGGGUCAGCUUUAGGACACAAUUUCACAAAUAUCCACUGGCCUUAAGUUAUUAUUCCUAACAGUUAACCAAAAUUUAUAUUAUCUACAUAUUUCCCUCUUACGGAGUUUCUAUAACAUUAACAUGCUUUUCAGGAAGGAUUCCUAUUUUGAGUUUAAGAAAUUACAUGUUGACUUAUCUGACACAUGUUGGUGGGGUUUUAAGGUAUGUUCCUCAUUUGUUUUAAGAUUUGCUUAUCUUCCAUUCCAUUUAUUUGCUUAUCUUUCCAAAUAUUUAUCGUAAUAAAGGGAUGGAGUAAAUUGUGUAAUACAAACCAGAAAUGACCUCUUGUAUCUACCUAAGCAGAGCAGCUGAUUAGCUUUGAGCAAAGGCACACUCACUUUACAAUAUCUGGCCCAAUCCCCUCUGAGCCACGCUGUUUUGGGUAUCCAAUUAUGUAGAGUGAAGGUUCCACCUUACCAAAAUAAUUCACUAACAGAGUACUAAGAUAUAUCCUAAUAUAAAAUAAUGUAUCAGCAAGGAUUCCAAACACAAUCUACUCUUUUAAACAUUAUUUAAUCUGAUUAACUGUAUUUGAAGGUUUGCUACUCUUCAGAUCACAGAGAAGUACUUAACUCAUAAGCUGUGUCACUCUAUAGAGCCACUAAGACAUCAGGGAUCUGUGACUUUCACAUUACAAAGCUACUGAAUCAUGACAACCAUUAUUUUCCCAUGAUAUAAUUCUGAUGUGUUUUUAAUGUGCUUAAUAUAUAAGGACCACUCCCCACAAGAUUUACAAAGGCAGCGAAAUCUACUCAACAGGUAUUAUUCAUGUGAACAUUUUAUAAAUCCUGAAAGGGUUUUCCAAAGUGCUCAUCUGGUUGAAAUGCAAAGCCUAAUCUUGAAUAACUACAUGCCUUUCUGGGGAACACUGGAAGCAGCCUUUGGAGACAUCCUCAGAAGCAAUAAGGUAAAUAUGCCAACUAGAACUAAUUGAUUAAAUUCACUAGUUAACAUUACUUUCAAAAUGUAUCAUCUCUGGGAACUAAUUAUUACUCAUCUUUUUCUUAAAUUUACUUUUCUUCAGCCUGGCCAACAUUACCCUAAAAUGUCAACUAAGCAUAUAGAAGUAGGAAUGAGGGAGAAAAAAACAUACGUGCAAUACUUUAGGUUAUCUGCCCUGGAGUAUUACUUCUUCUUUAUUGGAAAGAACACAUUUGAUCAUUUCUUUUGAGAAGCAAAGAAAUACGGAUGUCAAGUGUCCCUUUAAAUUAUCUUUUAGAUAAAUAUGGCUGUGGGCGAUAUUGAUGAGGCUUUCCUUAAGACAGAGCACCAACAUGGAGCUGUGAAACAUGAGAAAGCAUUCAAGAUCAGCUAAUAAAGCAUUUCCUACCUCCUUCUCAAGUAUUACAGAGCUCAAUUUUAUUUUACACUGCAAGUUAAUGGUGGGCAGGAAACAAACAUAUUUAAAGCACACCCUAUGAAAAGAAAGGUUUACAAUGAACUAUCACCACACGUAAAAAGAGUUCUGUAUAACAAAGCUAUUUCCAUGUCUCCAGGGGGUGACACAGGAAAAAAGAGUGCUUUGACCUGGUUAUAACAAACUCUCUCUCUCAGUAACCUAUCCUGGUCUUUAACAAAUUAUUACUCUCAAAGGUUUUGCUUCCAGCAAACCUAAAUCAUCACUGUUAGAGAAGUUCAAGUUCAUUUCCUUUUUUUUGAGGAGUCAUUUUACUGAAGCUGAGUCAAGAAGAAAAAAUUAAUAAGAGUAUUCAAAAGAAGUAACAAUAUGAAAGUAGGUUUAUUGCAAGAGUUUUGAAAAAUAGCUCUGGUAUGAAAGGCUUAAAAAUAGCAAUUAUAUUUGGAUACUCUUCUUACCUAAACAGUAAGUCAAUCUCCAUUUAAAAUGGAAACAAAGUCAUCUCAGUAUCUGGAGCCUCUGGUAAAGGAGGAAAUACUUAGUACUUAAAUCUGAGGUACUAAAGUGUCAUGAAAAGCUGUCCUUCUAGAACAGCUAAAUUCAGUAAUAUGCUGCCUGAAAAACUUGCAGAGCAAACUGAUAUUUUAUAAAUUCCAAACUAUUUAUCUGAAUCAUGAAUCAGGUCCAACUCUCACAGUAUUUAGUUGGUCUAAACUUCAUUGUGACCUCAUCUAUGACCUACAGGAGUACCCUGUGACACAGCAGGCCACAGGUGCUUCCAUUAAGAGCUUAAAAGUAGGACUCAAAGCUCAAAAGAAAUCCACAGUUCUAAGGACCUUUCGAAGACAAUGAAAAAGUCAUGAAUAUGAAACCUGGACCACCACCAAAUGGAUCUGCUGGUACACAGACUUCAGAUAAGAAGAAACUGGAGACUGAACUCUAACCACGUUUCUUUGUUCUAAAUUUCCUCCUGAGUGGCUUGGAGGAAGUCAUGCCCAUGGGACAGACCUAAUAUUCUUUUCUGCUGACCCCACGUCUUUACACAAAGCUCUCCUUCGUUAACCAACUGCAAAUCAAAAACUGUUUGAAUCCGCCUAUGAUUCGAAAUGCUCCUGUGGACCUAAAAUGUACAACUGUUCUUUAAAUAAAACUUCAACUGAUUUAACUUUAUAAGCUACAGGAAACAACAAGUGAAAUGAAAUAUACUAACGUAUAUAGGUAUACAGGGGCUCAGGACAAAAGAAUCCCCUGCCCAAAGAGCCUGAAGUCAAGACGAAGCUUAUAUCUCUGGCUGUGGGUAGAAAAAGAAGCAAG